GCUACGGCCACUUGUCUUAACGUCAGUCUGCACGAAAGGACGUCAGCAUGGUGAAAUGUGCUUUUUAGAACUUGUGGAAACAUACAGAAGAAAUGGACAAAAGAAAGUGUCCACCGCUUCCCUGUGAAGAACGAGGAACUAUAUAAACUUUGGUUACUCUCUGCUGGAUAUGACAUUCACACACCGGUGGAAAAAGGACUAAAAUGGCGAAUUUGCAGCAAGGAUUUCGCAACAACCGACAUCAGGAAAACAUUUUGUGGCUAUUCUCUCCUGAAAUCAAAUGCUGUGCCUUCGACUGCCCAAACAGCUUCAAGAUCUUCUGAUAAACAGGUAAGAUCUGCUGUACCACAGUCCACGCCAGUGAAGGAUACCACAUCAACAUCAGGCCAGCCGAGGACAAUUCAACAAUCAUCACGAGUGACCUGGAGGUAUACCACAGUGCGAUGCUGAAGUACACCCAAAAGAGGCUCCACUUUGUCUAUAACUCCAUGAAGGCAAGGACACUGAUGUCUGUUAUGGACCACAAUGAAAAUGUCGGGUGCUAGCAACAGAGGAACGCUGA